AUGGAGCUCGCGGAGGCCGUCCGGUGCGAGGCCGCCUUCGGGAUGCGCGUGCUCCAGCACCUCGCGGCCGAGCCCGGCGCCGGCGGCAAGAACCACGCCGUGUCCCCGCUCUCCAUCCACGCCGCGCUGGCGCUCCUCGGCGCGGGCGCCCGCGGCGCCAUGCUCAACGAGAUCGUCGCCCUCCUCGGCCCCGCCGGCGGCCGCGCCCACGCGCUGCUCGCGUCGCACGUCGCCAUGCACGUGUUCGCCGACAGCAGCGGCGGCGACGGUGGGCCGAAGGUGCAGUUCGCCAACGCCGUCUGGGUCGACGCCACGGCGGCGCCCCUCAAGGCCGACUACGCCCGCGUCGUCGCCCAGCACUACGCCUUCAAAACCAUGCCGGAGGAAGCGAGGCGCGAGAUCAACGAGUGGUUCGAGGCGGCGACGGCGGGCCGGAUCAAGGAGUUCCUGCCUCAGGGCUCCGUGGGGUACGACACGGCGGCCAUCCUCGGGAACGCACUCUACUUCAAGGGCGUCUGGGAGAGCACGUUCGACGCCCGGCUCACGCGGCACGACACCUUCUUCUACCAGCAGCCCGCCGGCGGCGAGGGCCAAAUCCGCGUGCCGUUCAUGUCGAGCGGUGAGCGGCAGUACAUCGCCUGCCGCCCGGACUACAAGGUCCUGAAACUCCUCUACGCGUGCGGCAGCGGCGAGCACCGGCGGCGGUUCGCCAUGCACGUCUACCUCCCGAACGAGCGCCACGGGCUGCAGGCGAUGCUGCACAGGCUGGCCUCCAGCCCGGAGCAGCUCGAGGCGGACUCCAUGGCGCUGCGGACCACCGUUGCCGUGGGCACAUUCAAGGUGCCAAAGUUCACCAUAUCGUACAAGACGGAGGCGAGCGGGAUGCUGCAGCGCCUUGGGCUGCGCCUGACGUUCAGCACCGCCUCCGACUUCUCGGGGUUGCUGGAUUUGGAACACAUGAAGCCGCCGAGGCUGCCGCUCUACGUGUCCCAAGUCUAUCACGAGUCCUUCGUGGAGGUGAACGAAGAAGGGACCGAAGCGGCUGCGGCGACAGCCAUCGUUGGUAUUUUCGGUAGUUGUUCGGCGGUCUGCAGCAGGCCAGUCAACUACGUGGACUUCAUCGCUGACCACCCCUUCAUGUUCUUGAUCAAGGAGGAGCUCACAGGCGUCGUUGUGUUCGCCGGCCAAGUCGUCGAUCCUUCGCUCUAG
rnacentral:rRNA from 1 species